CCUACGGGUGGCAGCAGUGAGGAAUAUUGGUCAAUGGACGAGAGUCUGAACCAGCCAAGUCGCGUGAAGGAUGAAUGCUCUAUGGUUUUUAAACUUCUUUUAUAAAGGAAUAAAACUAGGCACGUGUCCCUUUUUCCAUGUAUCUUAUGAAUACGGAUCGGCUAACUCCGGGCCAGCAGCCGCCGUAAUACGGAGUCUCCGAGCGUUAUACGGGUGUAUUGGGUUUAAAGGUUGCGUAGUUGGGUUGUUAAGGCAGAUGUGAAAGUUUUCGGCUCAACCGUAAAAUUGCAUUUUAAACUGGAAGUCUUGAGUACAGUUGAGGUAGGCGGAAUUCGUGGUGUAGCGGUGAAAUGCUUAGAUAUCACGAAGAACCCCGAUUGCGAAGGCAGCUUACUAAACUGUGACUGACAUUGAUGCUCGAAAGUGUGGGGAUCAAACAGGAUUAGAUACCCCAGUAGUC
rnacentral:rRNA from 1 species